UUCGAGAUUCUUUUUGUUUUUUUCAGGUUGCAGGCUGAAUGCUGCCCACAUGGGAAAGAAAAUGAGUCACACUGCAGCAACUUCCAACCGGAGAGUGAAGAUGAGAAUAGUGUCAGUCAAAUCAGACUAUGGGGCUUCUUAAGAUGGGCCGUCCAAUACACCCUCACUUAACCCAUUUCAGAGGAAGCACAGAGUCACGCCACGCAAGAAAGGAGUGGAAGUUGAGAGAAAAAACUUAUAUGGCCCUGUACUCCUCCAAACGCUCGCCAGGUGUGGAUUGUAAUCUUUCUCUCCUGCACAACCCACCUCCACACACACGCCUCCUUUAUUCAGACAUUUACUGAAUAAAUUAGAGCUGAAUUCCCUCUCACUAACUGUGGAUUUCAAAAGAAAAGUAAAUUAUAAUUCAACUCUCAGUUUAAAGCAAAGUCCAAAUCAAAGCGAUAUCGUUGCAAAGGCAGCCACUGGCAGUCUGGAGGGAAAGUUUCAGUCAUGCCUCUCCUUUUAUGAUUUAAAGAUGUCACAGCAGCAAAUGUAGAAUUAAAUAUUAUAUGAAAUUGCUCCAGAGCACAUCCAAUCUCUCAGCCGUACACGUUUCAAACACAACAGCACUCUUAAGAGGAAGAUACUCCUUAAAUCAAAUUUACCUAGUUUCAAUUUGUGAAUAUGAAUAAAAUUCUCUUUGAACGCAACAGCAGGGAACACUGUAGUGAUGAUGCACAGUUUGAACUUGUCCUCAUUCAUCACCACCUCUUCUUCCUCCUCCACCACUUUCUGCCUCCUCUUUCUCUGUUUCUCAAGGUUAAUAAGGUCACUCUCACCGAGUCUCAGCCUCCACCUGUGGAGAGGCUGUCAGGACUCCAAAAGCAAAGGAACCAGAGUUUCCUGAGCUUGAAGAGGCAGCCCACUGGGAUCCAUGCUUAUCGCUUCACAGAGUUAGAAAACAUCCUUGCAGCAUGAUAAGAAUUCAACGGUACACCCACAGAGGCAAGUGCAGUAUUAAAUUUGAUUCACUCUGUUGUUAGAGUUUGGUCAGUGACUUGUGCUCUGUUUUUUUCCCUUUUUUUCUGAGUAAACUGGUCUUAGAAAUCAUUGCAGAAGAGGAGGAGUGUGAAUCUCUUAGCCUUGGGCCUAAAAACUGUAGAAUCUCUCCGCUGGCUGCAAAGAAACAGCAAUAUAAAUGUGCUGACGUGUGUUGGAGGGUAAGCAUUGUGCGAGUGUGUGUACACAAGCAUGCACAAUCCAAUUUCCUCAUACUACAACCCCACAUGAAUAUGCAAGCAGGGGGGAUGAAUGACUAAAAUAGUGUGAAUGAAGUGGUUUCUCACUAACUCCCUCCUUAAUCCCACACUUCCUCUCAUAACUGGCCCCCAUAGUGGCAUAAACACACACAGGCAGCAUGCACACACAUUACUACAGUAUCAUGUUAUCUUUUCAAUAGCUUUAAGUUCAUCUUUUGUAAACCUAUUGCUUCUCGUUCUGACACCGAGCGAUCAGCCCUGAGGCAGUCCGCCUUUGACUCAUAUUCAACAUUCAGCUCAGUUAAAUCUGGAAGCCUGAUUGUGAAUCAGGAUGCAGAUGAUUUCCUGUUCGAAUCUCUUAUCUGUCUGUCAUGCCCAGUUGUUGGCUCGCUCUCUAUCUCCUCAUCUGUAUUCCAAACAGAGAUUGCAGUCAGAUAAGAGAGAAAGAAACAAAAAAUCAUCCCUCCCCUACACUCUCUCCUCACAACCGCCUACCUUGCCUUCCCACCUCCCCUUCUCCCGUUCUGACUCAUACUGAAAUCCCAGUGAGCCUCCUCACCCACCCCCCCCU